UUCCGGUUGAUCCUGCCGGACCUGACUGCUAUCGGAUUGAUACUAAGCCAUGCGAGUCUUUGCAGUAAUGCAAGGCAUACGGCUCAGUAACACGUAGUCAACUUACCCUAUGGACGAGGAUAAUCUCGGGAAACUGAGCAUAAUACUCGAUAGAUCAUAAUGCCUGGAAUGGUUUAUGGUUGAAAUGAUUCGUCGCCAUAGGAUGGGACUGCGGCCUAUCAGCUUGUUGGUGAGGUAAUGGCCCACCAAGGCGAUUACAGGUACGGGCUCUGAGAGGAGAAGCCCGGAGAUGGGUACUGAGACAAGGACCCAGGCCCUAUGGGGCGCAGCAGGCGAGAAAACUUUGCAAUGUGCGAAAGCACGACAAGGUUAAUCCGAGUGAUUUCUGCUAAAGAAAUCUUUUGCAAGUCAUAAAACCACUAGUGAAUAAGGGGUGGGCAAGUUCUGGUGUCAGCCGCCGCGGUAAAACCAGCACCUCAAGUGGUCAGGAGGAUUAUUGGGCCUAAAGCAUCCGUAGCCGGCUCUGUAAGUUUUCGGUUAAAUCCAUGUGCUCAACGCAUGGGCUGCCGAAAAUACUGCAUAGCUAGGGAGUGGGAGAGGUAGACGGUACUCAGUAGGAAGGGGUAAAAUCCUUUGAUCUAUUGAUGACCACCUGUGGCGAAGGCGGUCUACCAGAACACGUUCGACGGUGAGGGAUGAAAGCUGGGGGAGCAAACCGGAUUAGAUACCCGGGUAGUCCCAGCUGUAAACGAUGCAGACUCGAUGAUGCAUUGGCAUAUAGCCAGUGCAGUGUCGCAGGGAAGCCGUUAAGUCUGCCGCCUGGGAAGUACGUACGCAAGUAUGAAACUUAAAGGAAUUGGCGGGGGAGCACCACAAGGGGUGAAGCCUGCGGUUCAAUUGGAUUCAACGCCGG
rnacentral:rRNA from 1 species